rnacentral:misc_RNA from 1 species
GGAGACGGAGAUUUCCUCUUGUUGCCCAGGCUGGUGGCUCCCCUCCAUUGUGCAAUGAUGCAAUCUCGGCUCACUACAACCUUCACCUCUAGGCUUCAAGCAAUUCUCCUGCCUCAGCCUCCUAAGUAGCUGGGAUUACAGAGACCGGGUUCUUCCAAGUUGUCCAGGCUGGUCUUGAAUUCCUGGGGUGAAGCGAUCCUCCCACCUGGGCCUCCCAAAGUGCUGGGAUUACAGGCCUGAGCCACUGUGACUACCUGAUACGUCUCUUCUCUCUUGCUGCUUUCAAAAUCCUGUCUUUUGUGGGAGGGCAGCUGCCGAGCUCUGGACUUCUACGGGAUCAUCCACUGAGGACAGGAGGACCGGGCCCUCUACAGACACUGCUCUAGUACCAGUCCUGGCUCUUUGCCCCAGGAGCAAAUUAAAAGGCAGCUUCGAUUUUCAAUCAUGGAUCUGAUGACUUUCAACAAACUUUCCUGAGGAAAGUGCUGUUCCCACCAGAAGAGAUCUCAGGACAAAUGUAGACAGCCCUGCCCACAGGGGAGAUGGUCAGGCCAGUGUGGGGGCUAAUGAAUAAAUGCUACACUGUGCCCACUCAGGUCACGACCCCCAGGAGACCUGGAGGACUGAAUGCUGCUGCCCCCAAGGAGGAGGCUGCCGUCUUAUCCCAGGAGGGAGAGCAGGAAAAUAAAAAGGUUCAAAAGGAAGUUGCUGCGUAUCCAUCUGAGGCCUCUGAGGACAGCAAAGAGC